CCUACGGGCGGCAGCAGUGAGGAAUAUUGGUCAAUGGGCGCGAGCCUGAACCAGCCAAGUAGCGUGAAGGAUGACUGCCCUCUGGGUUGUACACUUCUUUUAUAAAGGAAUAAAGUGAGGCACGUUUGCCUUUUUGUCUGUACUUACUGCAUACGGACCGGCUAACUACGUGCCAGCCGCCGCGGUAAUACGGAGGGUCCGGGCGUUAUACGGAUUUAUGGGGUGUAAGGGGAGCGUAGGUGGGAUGUUAAGGCAGCUGUGAAAGUCUGCGGCUCAACCUGGAUACUGCAGUUGAAACUGGUUGUCUUGAGUGAAGUGGAGGUAGGCGGAAUUCGGGGUGUAGCGGUGAAAUGCGUAGAUAUCACGAAGAACACCGAUGGCGAAGGCGGCCAACUGAGCUGCAACUGACGCUGAGGCUCGAAAGUGUGGGGAGCAAACAGGAUUAGAUACCCGAGUAGUC
rnacentral:rRNA from 1 species